rnacentral:rRNA from 1 species
GACGAACGCUGGCGGCGUGCUUAACACAUGCAAGUCGAACGGAAAGGCCUGCUUUUCCUUGUGGAUUGCGUGUACUCUAGUGUCGAACGGGUGAGUAACCCGUGAGUUAUCUUCCCCCAACUCGGGUGUAAACCUGGGAAACUGGUACUAAUUCCCGCUAGGACUGCAGUGUUGUGCCUUUGUUGGAAAACGAUUUUCUUUUGGUCGGUGAUGAGCUGGCGUCCUAUCAACUUGUUGGUGGGGUAAUGGCCUACCAAGGCGGCCACGGGUAGCCGGCCUGAGAGGGUGGACGGGCACAUUGGGACUGAGAUACGGCCCAGACUCCUACGGGAGGCAGCAGUGGGGAAGAAUGCACAAUGGGCGGAAGCCUGAUGCAGCGACGCCGCGUGGGGGAUGACGGCCUUCGGGUUGUAAACUCCUUUCGACCGCGAGGAAGCCACCUGGUUGGAAGGGUGGUGACGGUAGUGGUAGAAGAAGCACCGGCUAACUACGUG